rnacentral:lncRNA from 1 species
CUGCUUAUAGAAAUACAUACAUUGUGACCUCUCAAGUUUUUCAUCUAAGAACCAGUUUUGUAAUCACAUUUUUCAGGCUUAACUUCUAGCAUGUGAGAACUAGCGGUCAGUGGAACUGCAUGCACACAUCAAGAACGUUUCAAAGUGUUUGCAGUUUGGGGCCUAUGAUAUUUGCAAGUGAAAUGCUUUGUAUGGUUUGAGAUUUUUACAAAAUCAAUGGUGUUCAAAUGUAGCACCUUUUAAACAUUUGUCUUCAUUCCAACUUAAUACAAUAACACAUCUGCAUUAAAUAUAUCCCUUUCAUUUUAUAAAUAAACAUUGCCUGGCAGUAAAAGUAUUGGUGUAACAUUUUCAAAUAAGGAAGUCAUGCUUCUUAUCAUGUUGUAUGUGACUUAAAUGACUGUUUCAUAUUAAAACUAAUCUUUCCUUAUGUACUGCUUAAAUAUACCUGUUUUAGGAUAUCAGUUCAGUACUUUUUAUACAAUCUUGAAUGUGUUCCACAUUGGUGACAUGUAUUUUUGCAACAACUUUUUUGUUUCAAUUUUAAAUUAGAGCAUGUCUGAAGUAAUACAUGCAUUAGUGCUGUGGUGUGUGGCAAAGUUAAUGUAUGUAAUUCAAAUUGGAAAAAAGUUUCCAGACUUUGUCCAACAUUAACCCUGUGGCCAGGGAUUAAAUUACUAUGUAAUACAAAUUAUUUCAUAUCAUGAUGUGUUUUAAGCUACUCUAUGAAGUAUGUGAAACAUUAUUGUUUAUGGAUUGGUAGCUGGUGUGGUAUCUUGCAUAGAAUGAGGUAUGAUAGAUCGUAGCAAUUCAUGAUAAUUAAACUGACUACCUUUCAGAACACGCAGCACUUAUGUGCAUUGUCAUCUUGUUGCCACAACUGUUAGUAUGAGUUUCAUAUUAUUAUCCUAUGACAAAUGGGUGAACAUCUGGUUGUACGCUCAUGGGUGUGAAAAUUCUGUUCUAACACUCUUUACUUGGUUUACAGAACAUGCCGUUUUUUUCUCUAUUGGAUGUGAUUAGAUGUAUGCAGGAGGAUGUAGAACUGGAUGUAUUUUAAAGUUAUUCUGCAAUUACUAAGUUUUGUCUGAAGCUUUCUAUAUUAGAAUAGACUCUUCCUUAAAAUUGGAAAAUUAAGUGUACUUAGCAGAACUCUUAAGGCAAUAUAACUAUCCUACGCUACAUCUUGAGUUAUGCACAUUCACUUCUUUGUAUGGAACUCCUCUGAUUUCUUGUGGGCUUAAGUUUUAUAUGGAAAUAAAGGAUCCCAUUAGUGCCCUAGUGUUGUCUGUCAUCAGUUCUGAGAUGAUGAAUUCUAAAUGGUGUUCAGCCCCUUAGAGGUGCUGCCUAUAGCUUCAAGUAUUCAAUAUCGCUCUUAGCUUCCGGGUUCAGAAAUGGCUUAUCCCAGCAUCACAGGAAAUACCUAUUUCUGUAUUAUUUGCCAUACAUGAUUAAUUUUCCUUCUCAUGUUCAAACAAACUUUCUGAACCCCACCUUUUUACUCAAAGGUUUGUGCACUGUAAUUCAGGAAUUGCUGUAUUUGAGACAGUUUGGGAUUGGAGUCAUGAGAGAUGUUGUGUCUGUUGCUAGGCACUCAUCUUCUGAACUUCCAUAUAGCUUAAGGAGGGCAAGCUUUUCAUAUAUUCUUCUAUUUUGUUGUUCCUUUCUUGGUAGUUUGUUUUUGGUUUUUUCUGAAAUGUGAAAUAAUAUGGAGUUGUUGAGGGAUUUUUACUUAAAAGACAGCUUCUCCUCCAAGCUUUUGUAUAUGGCCUUCAGAGCAGAUACUGUGUUCUUUAGGGCUUUUUGACUUGGAAUUGUUUGUCCACAUUCUCCUUUCAGUGUUAAAGAUGAGUUGAAAAAGGCAAGUUACCAAUCUACUGCCAUUCAAACAAUGCAAAGUAUAAGCUGAUUAAGACUGUUGACAUUUAAUUAUUUUUUUUUUUUUGCUAAUAAUGAUGUGAUACCUUUUAGAAGAACAUGUAUCAGAAUCUGAUUCAAGCGUUCUUGGAUAAUGUAUAUGGUAGAUUUUGUCCAACACUGUAUGUAACUUUGUUGCUUUCUGUUGUCUGUUUUCAGUUUCUUUUAAAAUAAAGGUAAUUUUUGUGGG